UAGUUGUUGUUGCAUGUCAUUUCGA
rnacentral:piRNA from 1 species